CUUCAAGGUAUCUACUCCUUAUCUUCUGUGACUUCCCAGGCCACGGAAAAGGUUCAGAAGUAGAUUCUGGUGCAGUUGGCUGUAAGUGGAACAGGACACACUGGCACAUCCUUUUCCCACCAAACCACAGAAAAACAUUUUUAAGUGAAGGUUGAAGAAAUGGCAAUUUACAGAUGCCAGAAGAAAGGAUAAAAAUCAAGGCAAGAUAAGAAAAAAGGAGGCUGAUGUUCUGCUGGUCCACUUGGUUUACUGGCUUCUCUGUCUGAUUGUGCCUAACUCUGACACUGUGCCUUCCCUCUAGACACUGUAGAUGAUGUUUAGUCCUAGCUCAAUCAGUCUCUCCCUUUGCACAUUUCCGUUACAACCCUGCUCAUGUGCUCAAGAUAUUGCUCCUGCUACUCUCCCCUCUCUUCUGCAUCAACAGUUCUUUCUCAUCUACUGGACAAUUCGCAUCAGCCUACUAUCAUACACAAAUACCCCCACCUUUAAAAACCCCUCCCUUGGUCCCACACUAGUCUUCAGAUUCCAUCCCAUUUUUUGCUCCCCUUGACAGCAAAAACCUCCAAAGAGUAUCUGUACUCAGUGUAUUUUCUCUUCACCCAUCAGCAAAAUUUGACUUAGUUACCAUCUCCUCCUGGAAACAGCUUCUUCACCUGGCAUCCAAGUACCUCUCUAUUCUCCUACCUCAUCAAGAACUUCUGCUUUGCUGAUUCUUCAUCCCCUUGAUAUCCAAACAUAGCAAUGUCCCAAGGCUCAGUUCUCAGGUCCACCAAGCACUCUCCCACUUCACAGCCCUUGUAUUUGCAGCCCUUUCUGCCUGUAAGCUCUCUCAACCCUCUUAUCCUCCUGACCCCAGGUCUCUUCAAAUAUUUACCAUCUCAGUUUUCUUUCUUAAUCUCUCUAUAUAAAAAACUACAUCAAAAUCUUUUUCCCUUAUCUUGCUUUAUUUUUUCUCCAUAGCAUUUAGCACCAGCUGAUAUAUUACCAUGUUUAUUUGUUUGCUGUUUGUCCUACUAGAAUGCUAGUUUUUUGAAGGCAAGGGCUCUGUCUGCUUGGUUCCUGCUGUUGGCCACUUCGUAACCCAGAUUCUGGCACAUAACAGACCCUUGCUACAUAUUUGUUGAAUAGCUGAACUCUUAGACACAAUAUCCUAAGACUUUGAUAGAGAUCUUACUUCUGAUAGAUUGUUCUUUCCUGCAACAAUACUGAUUCCUAUAUAAAUCUGGGGAAGGAAGAAAAGGUGACUGAUCACUUUUUACCUCUCAUCUUUUGCCAAGGUAAGGUUUUUUGUGGUUGUUAAAUCUGAAUAUAAUUAAAUUAAAAACUUUGGAUACCCGAGGCAGCUAACUUUGUUUAAAAACUUGCUAGUGGUAGAGAGAGAAACUUCUAAUCUCGAAAUCAAAUGAUCUAUUUUAGAACCAUGAAGCAAAGUCCCCUAAAUCUGUAAUAUGUGCAUUAAUACAACACACAUGGACACACACAAACAUGCAAACACAAGAAUGUCACCUAUAUUACACAAAUAAUAACAGGGAAACAAGUGGUUGAUACAGAUCAAGCCCAUAGAGAAAUUGAUCAAGCAAACUUUAGUCUGGGAAGGCUUUUUUUGUGGGGGGAAACUUUUUGAGUGUAAUGAAUUGGUAACAAAGGUAUGUAAGAUGUCUUGUCUGAAAACUCAGGAAGAGAAGGACUGGAGGCAGAGAAAUUCUGUAUGAUCAAAAUUCACACUACAGGAAGCCAAAAUUAGGUAUAAUAUAAUAAUGGAUCAUAACUCAUUGAAUAAAAUGAGUUGAAUAAAAGAAUCAAUGAGUGCACUCAAAUAUAAACAAAUAAAUGAAGGAAAAAGGAAAUCUUUCUUAUAGUAGAAUACAAAUAAUAAAUAUAAAAGGAGAAUGAUGAAUUAGAAAACCAUCAAUGGAUGCUUAAUUUAAGGAGUGAAAAUUUUAUGAGAAAUAAGAUACUUAAAGAGUCUCAAAGUAUCACUCUGCAGAUUACUUGUUAAUUACAAAAAGAAAAAUAAUAACACUACAGGAGAAAUCUGGCAGACACCAUCUAAAUCAAAUGGUCAACUCUAUCAUCAAAAUACGAAGUUAAACCAACAUCGUGGUCUCCUGAUAUGGAGGACACAAUACCAUUUCUGUGAUUUUCUCACCAAAAAUUCAUAAUCUCAAUCUAAUCAUUGAGGAAACAUCAGAUAAAUCAACAUUGGGGGUCAUUUUUACAAACUAACUGAUUGAUGCCCUUCAACAAUCUAAAGGUGAAGAAACACUGAGAGAGGAGUGUUUCCACAUUACAGGUGACUAAAGAGACUCGGCAAAUACAUACUGACAGAUUCUGAAAAUGGACUGUAGAUUAGAUAGUAGCCUUACAUUCAGAUUAAAUGUCCUGAUUUGAUAACUGGGUAUAGAAAAGAAAAUCACUGUUCUUAGGAAAUAUACACUAAUAAGUAUCUGGGUGAUGAGGGAUGCAAUGGUUUCAAUUCACAUAUGUAUACAGAGAGACAUCGUUAUUAAUAUAGCUAAAUGAGGCAAGACAUAAAUAGGUAAAUCUGGGUAAAGGGUAUAUAUAUGCCAUUUUUAAAAGUUUGAAAUUAUAUUUAGCUAAAAGGUUCACCUAAAAAUGCCUACAUAGCAAAAUCACUUUGGCUAAGGCAACAGCAAAGGGUUAGCCCAGAAUUUCUCCCAUUAAAUUUUCUGUUUAUUUGUGUUUUGCCCCCAAGGGCAUAGACAUAUAAACUUUAAUAUUUUCAACUCUUCUAACAUUUAAAUUUCUUAUUUCAUUUUCUUAUCUAAUUGCUUUAGCUAUGCUUCCCAAAUAAUGCUAAAUAAUAAUGGUGAUACCUGAUAUUCUUGCUGAUGAAUUUAAUGAGAAUGCUUCACCAAUAAGGAUGACUUGUAUUUGAGAUACAGUCAGUCAUUUUAAAUUGAGUAUCAAAUACAACACUAGUGCUGGGAAUACGACAGUAAAAAAUACAAUCAGACCCUGCCCCCUUCACAUCUUACAUUCUAUUUUUGUUUUUUUUGUAGAGAUGGGGUCUUGCUAUGUUGCCCAGGCUAGUCAAACAAUUCUUCCUCCUUGGCCUCCCAAAACACUGGGAUUAUAGGUGUGGGUCAUCACUCCUGGCCAGAUCUCACAUUCUAAAGAGAGAGGGAACCAAAAAUACAAGUGAACUAAUGAAAUAACUGCAAGUUAUGAAGGAGUUUUGAUCUUGUUGCCCAGGCUGGA
rnacentral:lncRNA from 1 species